GCCGGCCUGGGUGAGAGCACCGGCCGCCUGCUGGGCGACGACGCCGAGGUUCGCGUUCACUUCCCGGAGGUCGGCG
rnacentral:tRNA from 1 species